rnacentral:rRNA from 1 species
GCUAGUUGUAUUAUUAGUUAAUGCAAGAUCGACUACGUGACUAAAGUUCUAGGUAGAAUAAUGAUGAUGACAAUUUUUUACCUAUAUGUCUUGACCAAGUCUCGUGCCAGCAGUCGCGGUAAUACGUGGAAGACUAGUGUUAUUCAUCUUUAUUAGGUUUAAAGGGUACCUAGACGGUAUUUCUAGCCCAAAAUAGGGUACGGAUUUACUAGAGUUUUAUGUGAGGAGGGGAGUACUCGUGGAGUAGAGAUGAAAUUUUGUUAUACUAUGAGGUAACUGGUGGCGGCGAAAGCAACCUUCUAUGUAUAAACUGACGUUGAGGGACGAAGGCUUGGGUAGCAAAUAGGAUUAGAUACCCUAGUAGUCCAAGCAGACAAUUCUGAAUGCCAUAGAUUAGAUUAUUUUUGAUCUAUAAAUGAAAGUGUAAGCAUUCCACCUUAGGAGUAAUGUGGCAACACAGGAACUGAAAUCAUUAGACCGUUUCUGAAACCAGUAGUGAAGUAUGUUAUUUAAUUUGAUGGUCCACAAAAAACCUUACCACAACUUGAAUAUUUUUUAAUUAAUACAAGCGUUGCACGGCUGUCUUCAGUUAAUGUCGUGAGAUUUUGGUUAACUCCAUUAAUUAACGUAAACCCUUACUUUAUUU